rnacentral:lncRNA from 1 species
CUGAAUAUGCACCAAAAGACUACCAAGAUCCACCCCCAGCACCCUUAAUUGAUCCUGAAGAGUUAGGAAAAUGGUCAUUUUACAGAGCCAUAAUUGCUGAAUUCAUAGCUACUCUUUUAUUUCUCUACAUAACUGUCCUGACUGUUAUUGGGUACAAAAGCCAGAAUUCUACUGACCAAUGUGGUGGUGUUGGUAUUCUUGGAAUUGCCGCCAGCACCCUUAAUUUAACCUGAAGAGUUAGGAAAAUGUUCAUUUUACAGAGCCAUAAUUGCUGAAUUCAUAGCUACUCUUUUAUUUCUCUACAUAACUGUCCUCACUGUUAUUGGAUACAACAGUCAGAAUUCCACUGAUCAAUGUGGUGGUGUUGGUAUUCUUGGAAUUGC